GUGGAUAAUCUGCCCUUAGGUGGAGGAUAAUCUCGGGAAACUGAGGAUAAUACUCCAUAAAUCUAGGAUGCUGGAAUGCAUCUAGAUUGAAAGCUCCGGCGCCUAAGGAUGAGUCUGCGGACUAUCAGGUUGUAGUCAGGGUAAAGACCUGACUAGCCUACGACGGAUACGGGUUGUGAGAGCAAUAACCCGGAGACGAUAUCUGAGACACGAUAUCGGGCCCUACGGGGCGCAGCAGGCGCGAAAACUUCACACUGUGCGAAAGCGCGAUGAGGGAAUCCCAAGUGUUUGCUCGUAAGAGUAAACUGUUUCUUUGUUUAAAACGCAAAGAGAGUAAGGGCUGGGUAAGACGGGUGCCAGCCGCCGCGGUAAUACCUGCAGCUCGAGUGGUGAUCAUUAUUAUUGGGCCUAAAACGUCCGUAGCCGGUUUAGUAAAUGCCUGGGUAAAUCGUGUAGCUUAACUAUACGACUUCCGGGUAGACUGCUAAACUUGAGACCGGGAGAGGCUAGAGGUACUCCUGGGGUAGAGGUGAAAUUCUGUAAUCCUAGGGGGACCACCAGUGGCGAAGGCGUCUAGCUAGAACGGGUCUGACGGUGAGGGACGAAGCCCUGGGGCACAAACCGGAUUAGAUACCCGGGUAGUCCAGGGUGUAAACGCUGCUUGCUUGAUGUUAGUUGGGCUCCGAGCCCAACUAGUGUCGGAGAGAAGUUGUUAAGCAAGCUGCCUGGGAAGUACGGUCGCAAGGCUGAAACUUAAAGGAAUUGGCGGGGGAGCACAGCAACGGGUGGAGCGUGCGGUUUAAUUGGAUUCAACGCCGGAAAACUCACCGGAGGCGACGGUUACAUGAAGGCCAGGCUGAUGACCUUGCCUGAUUUUCCGAGAGGUGGUGCAUGGCCGCCGUCAGUUCGUACCGUAAGGCGUUCUGUUAAGUCAGACAACGAACGAGACCCUCAUCUUUAAUUGCUACUGGUAAGUUCGCUUACUGGGCACAUUAGAGAAACCGCUGGCGAUAAGUCAGAGGAAGGCGAGGGCAACGGUAGGUCAGUAUGCCCUGAAUCCUCCGGGCUACACGCGCGCUACAAAGGCUAGGACAAUGAGCUUCA
rnacentral:rRNA from 1 species